GGCCUGGUGUAGCGGUAACACGUCCUCUAUUACUGCAGCCGCAUCCUGUUGGAGUUUAUGAGGAUGUCCCUUGUUCGAGUCAAGGCCAGGCCG